CCGAAAGCUAAUAAAUUUACACACACAAGAAGAAAUCCUACCAAAAAUGAACAUGUAACAUUCAUAGUAACAGAAGAAUACACACCUAUAUACAUACGAGAGAGAGCGCACACACAUAUCGAGAAAGUGUUACAGAUGUACACAAUGCAGUUCCAUUUCUCGACAAGAAACAAAGCAUAUAUUCGAUAGUAAGAGUUAAAUAAACAAUAAACGAGAGCAGGACUCGCAGAAUACCACUAUGACCGCACCCAUGCAACAGCAUCAAUCUCAUCUCUUGCUCCUUUAUAUAACUCGAGUCGUUUAGCAAGAUCCUGUCUCUUUGACAUCAGAGACGGGUCUUCAUCCAGUAACUCCCCCAGUUGUUUACCCUAACAAUAUUACAGUUUUACUUGUUAGAACUUAAAACAUAUAACACAAUAAAUAAAACAUUAACAAGUUUUCAAAAGAUUCACCACCUCCUUCCUUCCUAUUUGUGUGUAGAAGUAAUGGAGAAGAUUUUGCCUCGCUUCUUUGACUUGACAAUAAACAACCGCCUUGGGGAUUGUGAUCCUGAGCGUGUCAGACACCAUAUUAAUAUAAGAUGAUACGUUUGAGCCGAUCCUUCUGAAAUGGGCAUCUCCGUAACGGUCCCCUAAUGGGUCACUCGGGUUUCCACGGUCUGCAGAAGGUGGGUUUCUGCGGUCUGCAUGUGAGGGAGCAGGCCCAGGCCCAGGCCCAGGCCCAACUUUCUCUGCUUCUUGUGGAAGUCGCCUAAAGAAAUCGACUGUGAGAUAAGAAGACUCCAUUUCCACCAAUCUGGAAACUGUCUUUUUGCUUUCCACACGGAACUUUUCCAAUGCUUCAGUAGCUGCAGCAGCAAGAGUAGAUUGAAGUGAUGGAAACCGCCUUAAUUCCUCUUUUGGCUAUCAAACGUUGCUGA
rnacentral:lncRNA from 1 species